GGUUUUGUUGAGAUCCGUCGGGGGCCGUCAAGGCUAAUGAGAUAGAAUGAAUGAGAAUUCAACCACCUGUAGUCGUGACGUCCCUUGUCCGAGGACUCGCAUUUGGGCCAUCCGCGCCGCUGCGGGAACGGGAGGCCAACAUCCACCGCGCACCAGCCCGAGCCCACAUGAAGCAGACUUGGGUUGGGGUGGUGACGAGAUGCGUGACGCCCAGGCAGACGUGCCCUCGGCCGGAUGGCCUCGGGCGCAACUUGCGUUCAAAAACUCGAUGAUUCACGGGAUUCUGCAAUUCACACCAAGUAUCGCAUUUUGCUACGUUCUUCAUCGAUGCGAGAGCCUAGAUAUCCGUUGCCGACAGUCGUAUUGGUUACGUUUUCAGACGCCGGCCCUCCGCCGCCGCGGAAUCCGCGGCGGGGGAGGGGGCGAUCCGUUUGAGUAGUCCUUGGCGCUUUCCGCGCCGAGAGUUGAGUUUGGUGCGAGGGCCUGCCGGAUUUCUUAGGCCCGGCCGGCGCCCCGCGGUUUUUGUUUAACGUGUUCGCGGUCGCUUGCAGGAUU
rnacentral:misc_RNA from 1 species